rnacentral:rRNA from 1 species
UACAGAGGAUGCAAGCGUUAUCCGAAAUGAUUGGGCGUAAAGCGUCUGUAGGUGGCUUUUUAAGUCCGCCGUCAAAUCCCAGGGCUCAACUCUGGACAGGCGGUGGAAACUACCAAGCUGGAGUACGGUAGGGGCAGAGGGAAUUUCCGAUGGAGCGGUGAAAUGCGUAGAGAUCGGAAAGAACACUAACGGCGAAAGCACUCUGUUGGGCCGACACUGACACUGAGAGACGAAAGCUAGGGGAGCGAAUGGG